UACGUAGGAUGCAAGCGUUGUCCGGAUUUACUGGGCGUAAAGCGCACGUAGGCGGAUCGUUAAGUCGGGGGUGAAAUCCUGGAGCUCAACUCCAGAACUGCCUUCGAUACUGGCGAUCUUGAGUCCGGAAGAGGUGAGUGGAACUCCUAGUGUAGAGGUGGAAUUCGUAGAUAUUAGGAAGAACACCAGUGGCGAAGGCGGCUCACUGGUCCGGUACUGACGCUGAGGUGCGAAAGCGUGGGGAGCAAACAGG
rnacentral:rRNA from 1 species